rnacentral:rRNA from 1 species
GACGAACGCUGGCGGCGGGCUUAACACAUGCAAGUCGCACGAGUGGCGGACGGGUGAGUAAUGAAUGGGAAUCUGGCUUAUGGAGGGGGAUAACGACGGGAAACUGUCGCUAAUACCGCGUACCAUAGGAUGAGCCCAUGUGGGAUUAGGUAGUUGGAGGGGUAAUGGCCAACCAAGACGAAGAUCUCUAGCUGGUCUGAGAGGAUGACCAGCCACACCGGGACUUAGACAAGGCCCGGACUCCUCCGUGAGGCAGCAGUGGGGAAUAUUGCGCAAUGGGGGCAACCUGACGCAGCCAUGCCGAGUGAAUGAAGAAGGCCUUCGGGUUGUAAAGUUCUUUCGGUGACGAGGCGUUAAUCACAGAAGAAGCACCGGCUAACUCCGUGCCAGCAGCCGCGGUAAUUC